GACGAACGCUGGCGGCGUGCUUAACACAUGCAAGUCGAACGGUAAGGCCCUUCGGGAUACACGAGUGGCGAACGGGUGAGUAACACGUGGGUGAUCUGCCCUGCACUUCGGGGUAAGCCUGGGAAACUGGGUCUAAUACCGGAUAGGACCACUGCCUGCAUGGGUGGUGGUGGAAAGCUUUUGCGGUGUGGGAUGGGCCCGCGGCCUAUCAGCUUGUUGGUGGGGGUAUGGCCUACCAAGGCGACGACGGGUAGCCGGCCUGAGAGGGUGACCGGCCACCCUGGGACUGCGAUACGGCCCAGACUCCUACGGGAGGCAGCAGUGGGGAAUAUUGCACAAUGGGCGCAAGCCUGAUGCAGCGACGCCGCGUGAGGGAUGACGGCCUUCGGGUUGUAAACCUCUUUCAGCACCGACGAAGCGCAAGUGACGGUAGGUGCAGAAGAAGGACCGGCCAACUACGUGCCAGCCGCCGCCGUAA
rnacentral:rRNA from 1 species